rnacentral:rRNA from 1 species
AAUCCAUAGGUUAAUGAGGCGAACCGGGGGAACUGAAACAUCUAAGUACCCCGAGGAAAAGAAAUCAACCGAGAUUCCCCCAGUAGCGGCGAGCGAACGGGGAGGAGCCCAGAGCCUGAAUCAGCAUGUGUGUUAGUGGAAGCGUCUGGAAAGGCGCGCGAUACAGGGUGACAGCCCCGUACACAAAAGCGCAUGUGCUGUGAGCUCGAUGAGUAGGGCGGGACACGUGGUAUCCUGUCUGAAUAUGGGGGGACCAUCCUCCAAGGCUAAAUACUCCUGACUGACCGAUAGUGAACCAGUACCGUGAGGGAAAGGCGAAAAGAACCCCGGCGAGGGGAGUGAAAAAGAACCUGAAACCGUGUACGUACAAGCAGUGGGAGCCCCACCACCAAAGCGUUUCGCUUUGUGUGGUGCACAAAGAAGCGUAACGACAGCACUGAAUGACGGUUAACGGAGCGCAAGCGACGUUCAACAUACAAAGUCAAGCAGUGGAGCGCUUUGGGGUGGGGUGACUGCGUACCUUUUGUAUAAUGGGUCAGCGACUUAUAUUCUGUAGCAAGGUUAACCGAAUAGGGGAGCCGGAGGGAAACCGAGUCUUAAUUGGGCGUUAAGUUGCAGGGUAUAGACCCGAAACCCGGUGAUCUAGCCAUGGGCAGGUUGAAGGUUGGGUAACACUAACUGGAGGACCGAACCGACUAAUGUUGAAAAAUUAGCGGAUGACCUGUGGCUGGGGGUGAAAGGCCAAUCAAACCGGGAGAUAGCUGGUUCUCCCCGAAAGCUAUUUAGGUAGCGCCUCGUGAAUUCAUCUCCGGGGGUAGAGCACUGUUUCGGCUAGGGGGCCAUCCCGGCUUACCAACCCGAUGCAAACUGCGAAUACCGGAGAAUGUUAUCACGGGAGACACACGGCGGGUGCUAACGUCCGUCGUGAAGAGGGAAACAACCCAGACCGCCAGCUAAGGUCCCAAAGUCAUGGUUAAGUGGGAAACGAUGUGGGAAGGCCCAGACAGCCAGGAUGUUGGCUUAGAAGCAGCCAUCAUUUAAAGAAAGCGUAAUAGCUCACUGGUCGAGUCGGCCUGCGCGGAAGAUGUAACGGGGCUAAACCAUGCACCGAAGCUGCGGCAGCGACGCUUAUGCGUUGUUGGGUAGGGGAGCGUUCUGUAAGCCUGUGAAGGUGGCCUGUGAGGGUUGCUGGAGGUAUCAGAAGUGCGAAUGCUGACAUAAGUAACGAUAAAGCGGGUGAAAAGCCCGCUCGCCGGAAGACCAAGGGUUCCUGUCCAACGUUAAUCGGGGCAGGGUGAGUCGACCCCUAAGGCGAGGCCGAAAGGCGUAGUCGAUGGGAAACGGGUUAAUAUUCCCGUACUUGGUGUUACUGCGAAGGGGGGACGGAGAAGGCUAUGUUGGCCGGGCGACGGUUGUCCCGGUUUAAGCGUGUAGGUGUGUGUUCCAGGUAAAUCCGGUU